AACGUAGGAGACAAACGUUAUCCGGAGUUACUGGGCGUAAAGGGCGUGCAGGUGGUCUGUUAAGUCUGGCGUGAAAGCUCCCGGCUAAACCGGGAGAGGUCGUUGGAUACUGGCGGACUAGAGGACGGUAGAGGCGUGUGGAAUUCCGGGUGUAGUGGUGAAAUGCGUAGAGAUCCGGAGGAACACCAGUGGCGAAGGCGACACGCUGGGCCGUACCUGACACUAAGCCGCGCCAGCAUGGGGAGCGAACGGG
rnacentral:rRNA from 1 species